CUUGUUUAUUCUUUAUUUUAGUAGACGCCUUGUGUGCAUCGGGGGUGCUUGGUGUGCACGGCGGGUUUGUGCAUGCAUCGGGUAGGCUUCCGUUGGGGCCUGGGCGUGACAUCUCUCUUCUCCUCUCUCUUCCAUCUUCUAGCAAGAAGGACGUCCUUUGUAAGGGAGCUAGCACUUCGGUGAGGACAUUAAUCAAAUCACCAACCUCUUGUGGAUACUUAUAGAGGCCGGACGCAUGUACAGCUUCACUAGUACCUAAUUCCAUGAUCAUCAAAUUAUGGUGAAAAUUUAUCCGCACAAAGGUAAAAAUUAGGUCUUAUUUUUCUUCUUUAAUCCUAAAGAAUAUAAGGGAUCCUAUUUGUGUGGUUUUCGAGAUCGGAUUUCGAGUUUUAAAAAUCAAAUUUGUUUGAUUUCUUUUUCCGCUGCGAUUUUACCGUACGCAAAUUUUCUAAUACUCUAAACUUUAAACCAUUUUGAAAUUGACCUCUGAAAUUUUUUUAUUUGAUUUACACCUCCUCAACUUACAAACUAUU
rnacentral:lncRNA from 1 species